rnacentral:lncRNA from 1 species
UUUUCUCCUAGAUACUUACUUCAACAUGGGUCUAAUGUAUUCUCUCCGACCACCAAUCAAUAGAACUUUCUCCUGUUUUGCCACAAAUGAUUCAAAAGCUGCAGAGCAACAACCUAGUGAAGACGACAAGCUCCCACGUUUCGCUUACCUUGUUGGAGGGUCUAAAGGAGAUCUUGAAAGCCUUUGGAGAACCCUUAGAGCAGUGUACCAUCCAAGGAACCAAUACAUUGUUCACAUGGAUCUUGAAUCACCGGUUGAUGAGAGAUUAGAGCUGGCUUCUCGCAUUGAUAAAGAUUCUAUAUAUUCUAAGAUAGGGAAUGUCUAUAUGAUAACUAAAGCUAAUCUUGUGACUUAUAAUGGACCAACUAUGGUGUCAACAACCCUUCACGCUUGUGCGAUUCUUCUUAGGAGAAACCCUAAUUGGGAUUGGUUUAUCAAUCUCAGCCCUUCGGAUUAUCCCCUUGUGACCCAAGAUGGUAAACACUUUGAUCAUAUUCUUUUCUUUUUGUUCUUGAUCUUCCUCUUGUUGGAGUUUGACAAACACUGUUUUAUGUUUGAAGAUCUGAUUUAUACGUUUUCAACUGUGGACCGGAACCUCAACUUUAUCGAGCAGACAACUGACUUAGGCUGGAAAUAGUGAGAUUCAUCUCUCUCAAUGCUUCUGAAUUCUUGAUUUUUUUUUUUUAUUUUAAUUUAUUAUUAUAAUGAAUGUUUCUUGGUGUCGCACGGUGAAGCAAGUGGCGGGCAAUGCCAUUAAUAAUUGAUCCUGGACUCUACAUGCUAAACAAAUCUGACAUUUUUGGGGUCACGCCUGGUCGAAGUUUACCAUCUGCGUUCAAGUUAUUUACCGGUCAGUACUGUUUUCUCUUAUCAUGGAGUUUUUAAAAACAGAUUACUCUGUGCUUAUUGCAAUCAAGUUUGCAACUUUUUGUCUGGUUUUGUUUUUUGUAGGAUCAGCUUGGUUUGUUUUAUCACGCCCAUUCGUGGAGUAUAUCAUUUGGGGCUGGGAUAAUUUACCAAGAACUUUGCUCAUGUAUUACACCAAUUUCGUUACUACUACUGAAGGUUACUUCCAAACAGUCAUAUGUAACGUGCCUGAGUUCUCCAAAACCGCCGUGAACCAUGAUCUUCACUACAUCUUGUGGGACAGACCACCGAAGCAGCAUCCUCGCUCGUUGUCCUUAAGAGACAUGAGACAGAUGGUUGCAAGCGGUGCUGCCUUUGGUCGGAAAUUCAGAAGAAAUGACUUGGUAUUGGAUAAGAUCGAUGAGGAGCUGCUUAACCGAACAAACGAAGGUGGUUUCACUCCCGGUGGGUGGUGCAGUGGGAAACCAGAGUGCUCGGUUGUCGAAGACGUGGCUAAGAUCACACCUGGCCCAGGGGCUGUGAGGCUCAAGGGGCUUGUAGAUAGGUUGGUUGAAGAAGCUAAAUCAGGAAAGAAUCAGUGUGAAUAGAAUCAAUUUCUUUUGGAUGGAGAAAUCAUUGCUUGGAGAGAGUCUUGCAGCUUCAGGCUAUAUAUAUAAUACAACAUAGAUUGAUUGUAAGCUUUCAAAUAGGUUAAAGAUUACUUGUAUGUCAAGCAAACUAGUGAUUUAUUAGGGCUUACAAUAAGUACAUUAUACAAAUACAAAGAUUAUAUAUUCUUCUAUAGUAGCAACAAUGUUUACACUCUUCCUACUCUCCCCUUCCCCCAAAAUUGUUUCCUAUCAAUUAAAUCAACAAUGAGAAAUCUCUGGAAAUUACCAUUUUACCAAAUACUCCCACGUAAAAACAACUCAACCAGAGAACGUCAAAUUGAUAUAGGCCCAAAAAGUCCAUUAGCCCAAACACUUAACCCAAAUCAUAGCUUUCUUGUUCAAAUUCUGUCGCCCCUUUGUAACCUAAAAACUCUGUUACAACGAAGCUCUCCUCAAACGAGUCUUUUGGACAGGCUAUAUACAAUUUAGUUGAGUGUGUUAAAAGGUUCGUUGAAACUUGAAAGUGAGAAGAAAAUUCUGAGAAGACAUUUGUCAAUUAUGAGCCUUCCAAUUCUCUUGAUUCAGGUAUGCAUGGAUCUUCGGAAAUAUAAUCGUUUUGUAGGUUUACAUGAUAUUUACCAUACAUUUCAGUAUAAAAAAAUUCAAUACCAUAAGUAGUACUAGAAAUAUUGGUUUAGUGACUCAUGAGUUUGAACUUGCAGUUAACCUUCAUCAAUAUUUGAACUCAACUCCCUUACUUCUGAUUGGAGCUUUAAAGAAAACCAAAAUACAAUUUUUUUUUUUGUUGCAGUUGCAUUUGCCACUGAUCCACUUGAUCAUCAAACUUUAUCACACUUUAUACAAAGGUGGGUCUAAAAAAAAAUAAUCGUCUUGGGAAUUAUCAAUAAUUGCGUUGUACAAUAUAAUGGUAGUGAUUGCACUCCAUAAUAAAUAGAGAAAUCGUGAAUUGAAAGAAAAAUUUGAAGACGAGAAUGGCAUACCAGUCUUGCUGCCAAGUCCCCUUAUAGCUUAGAAUUGAAUGAGUGCAUAUUAAACAAGUCAAAGUGUGUUGGAGACUAUUUUUAAGUAGCUCGUCUUCUCAAAUUUCUUUCCAUAAUUAUCGCAUGCAAAGGCAAAGCAAAGUGUGUUGGAGAUCAUUUCCUCUUUCCAUUGAUGAUGCCCUCCUUUCCAGAAAUAUAUUUUAUUAUUCUAUUGCUUUGUAACUCCAACGUACAUUAGUUGUUACUCAAGAUGGCAAAGCAAGCAAAAUUUGAUAUGAUUGUUUUCAAAGUAGGAGUCGAGUGGCGACAAUGUUCAAGUGAAUACAUGUAAAAAUGUAAGGAUUAAUUGUCAUCUAUUUACACAUGAGACAGUUAUAUAUUCUAGUGCAACCUUACCUAACUUGGAUAGGAGCCAAUAUCACCACGCUGAGUUGGGUAUAAUCUUCCAUGCUUAAAUAGUUUAUUUAUUGAAUGCAAUUAUACAAGUUUAAAAUACAGCCUCCAAUUUACAAACCUCAGAACCAUAGGUCUAAGAGAUUCGCAUCAAAUAGUUAGCAAUGUAAAGAUGUUUCAGUUUUUAGUAAAGUACAUUAAGGGAUAGUGGUUAGAAAGUGGUAUAAAUAUCGUUAUUAUCCCAUAAUACAGAUUUGUAAUUUAUCAUAUUCAUUUUAUCAAAAACAAAACUUAUCAUAUUUCAUGUAUUUCUCUUCUUCAAUUAAUUUGUUUCUAUUAUUCAUGCCUUCGUAUUUGCAGAUAUAAAUUCGGUAACAUAUAAUUUUAAACAAAUGCGUAAUAAGAUAAAUGAAGGAAUUAGGUUAUUGCGAUUAUAAAAACAUUUCAAACAAAUUAACAUAAUCCAACGGGAGACAAGUUCAUAGAACGGAUACACCAUUUUUAACACACAGUAACGUGUAGUGACAUUCAUAGAAGAAAAUAAUUAUCAAUUCGAUUUUGAAAAUUGAAAACGAACUUAGAUUACGCAACAUAUAAAGAAAAUUUAGUGUGUUAAAAGUUUCAUAUCUGCAAUAUUAAGAUGAGUGUUGGUCAAGCAACAUGGUAGAAAAAUGGCCAAAAUAAGGAAAAAAUACUAAAGUCAAAAGUCUGACUUAAUUUUGAAGCUUUUGGGUUUAAUAUGGUGAGGAAGGUGAAUAUAAAAACCCGGGGAUCUGCUAUUAAGAUGAGUGUUUGUCAAGCAACAUAUUAUAAAAUGGCCAAAAUAAGUAAAAAAAAAUAUAAAAGUCAAAAGUCUGACUUAAUUUUGAAGCUUUUUGGGUAAAUACCAAAAACUAAAUUCUCGUGUCUUCCAAAAUAGUUUUUAGUAUGUUUCGGUUUAGUGUAGUGUAGAAUUUUGCCUGAUUGAUACUCCAUAGCUUAACAAAACCAUCAUCGCUACCGCUGGCUAACAAUGUUGGAUCUGCUGAUGGAAUGUCGAUGGACCAUACACGUUUCUCGUGCUCCUUCAUCUUCGUAACCAACAAAUAAUAAAUCUUUGUUAAAGGUUUUGUUCCGUUUUUUUUUUGCAUUGAUUAAUGAAGUUAUAUUAGUUUCAAUACCGAACUAACCUGAACCACGCCUUCAAAGUUACUUGACGCAAUUUGGCUUUUGAUAUAGCUGUUCCAACAUAUACCACUUAGCUUAGACCGGCAGGCUAGUUCCACCACAUCGUUUAUUAUUAUUAUCGACUCACAUUCAAAUGUUUUGCUUUCUUGUUGACACCAGUCGUGGCGUAAAACAAUAAAUUGAUGAAAUUCAGGCAUAACCGUGGUCCAUACGUACCUAAUUGUGCCUAAUUAUACCUAAUAUAUUGAUUCAAUUACCAAUUACUAUAUGACUUGUUUUUCUGAUCCAGUUAUUGCACUCAACCAGGAAUAAAGUCGUUUUCCUACGCUCAAUUUAUUACGACUGUAGUUGUUUAUAUUAUUCAUCUAUCAAAGACUAGUGAAUCAUCCAAUUCAAUCGGUUAUAUAAUUGAAUGAAAGAUUUAUAACUCAGAUACAUAUAUUUAUUGAAUUUUUUUAUAGAUUGGAUAUAAGGUGAAAAAAAUAGUUUUAAAAAAAUAUUAAUAGCUUGUAACGGUUUAUCUUUAAUAAAUUGUAAGAAUCUUAAACUUUAUCUCGCUUUGUAGCCUCUUUGUAAUGGUUUAACUUUAAGCUUAACAAAUUGUAUGAACCUUAAGAUUUAUCUCACUUUGUAACUUCUUUCUAAAAAGGUUUUUCGACUCAGCAUCAUAACUUGUAACGGUUUAUCUUUAAGCUUAACAAAUUGUAUGAAUUAAGCUUUAUCUGUUACAUGUAAACAUUUUUAAUCAUUUUUAAAAGACUUACUCACAUUUUCUUUCUUUUCACUUUCAGUUUUAUUUCAGUUUUGUGAUGACUGAUGAUCGUUUCCCAAGGGAAAAAAUAUAAUUACUUACAUUCAUGUAUACUAAAUGUUUUUUUCCUUUGGAAAAUUUAUAUGACUAAAUCGUUUUCAAGUGGUUCUGGGACGAAACUAAUAUUAGAUGCUAUGAUUUCAGGUCUGAGGGAUUACGGGUUUUGGCCCAAAACCUCCUGAUAAUCUAAAAGAAAAGAAUACAGGAACGGAAUUUACUAUUUAGUGAUGAGAGAUAGGAAUUUUAUUUUCUAAAUUUCUUAUUCGUGUUGUAGUUUCAAAAAAUUGGAUAUAUCCUCUAUGAAUGCCCACCUUUUUUAGGGAAAAAAUUAUUUUUGGUAAGAGUUUUAUUAUUCGCUAGAUUAAGCAUUGUGUAAUACGUGAGAAAAUAUAUCUAUAUACUUAUUUGUGUAGUGAUUUGCUUACGUGUCGCGCUCAUAUCGAUUUUCACAGUGUUUCGCUUACGUGUUAACUCUAGAAUGAGUUUCGACUGCAAAAAGACAUUUUUACACUAUUUACCGAUUAUGUGUCAUUUUUUAUUGGUUCUUAUCUGAUGAUAUGUUAAAAAUAACUUAAAACAAACUGUUCUAAAUUAUUGUGGUUUAAUGUUUUAUUUUGCUGUCAAAUCAAACCGUUUUUAAAAUUUUAUAAAACCAAAAUUUAGUAAAAAUUUAAAAAUUAAAAAUCAAUAAAUAGAAUGUCUAAUGGAAUGAUGAUAUAUGUGAUGUCUAGAUUAAUGUAUUCGACUUCAAAUGUUUUAGUAUAAAUAUGUCCAUGAUUUCUCUCUAAUUCUCACACACCCUUUCUAAGUUGUUUAACUCUUCCUUCUUCUUCAAUUGAGUUCUUACGAUACUUAAAAAAACUAUGUCUUAAAUACAUAGAACAGUGAUUAAAAGAUUUUAAGUUAUUUAAACUAAAUUAUUUGAAUACUAAUAUGUUUUUAUCUACAUUCUUCUAUAGUGUUUCCAUGAUCAUGUCUUCAAACAUUAAAAUGUAAGAAAAUCUAAUAAAAAAUAUACUCAAUAAUAGAAAGAAAAAAACAAAUGACUUCAAACUACUAUUAGUUUUUCAAACAAUAAAAUAGAACAGUGAUCAAAAGAUUUUAAAUUAUUUAAACUAAAUUAUUUGAAUAUUAAUAUGUUUUUAUCUACAUUCUUCUAUAAUGUUUUCACGAUCAUGUCUUCAAACAUUAAAAUGUAAGAAAAUCUAAUGAAAAAUAUACUCAAUAAUAGAAAAAAAAACAAACAACUUCAAACUAUUAGUUUUUCAAACAAUAAAAUAAAAAGUUAUAUCAGCCCACGCCUUCACUUGUAACAAAAUAUUUAGAUUUCAAAAUUGAUAAACCUCAUAAUUAUGAUCUAUAUGAAAAUAAUUUUAUUAAGAUCCUGUUAAUUAACAAUUGAUUUAUAUUGCUUCGAAAAACAUAAUUAUCAUCUUAUUUUACUUUACCCUGUUUAUUUUAAUAAUUUUUAUUUAGAAAAACAUAAUUCAUUUUUUUGCCUUUUAGAAAUAACUAAGAAUAAUUUUUUUUUAUAGUAUUACAUUUACACUUGAUACGAUCUAAUUAAGAAUGAUACAUGUUACGCUCACGUUGAACGCAUUAGGAUUAUAAUAAGAUUCUCUCUUCAUCAUCUCUACUAUUCCCUAUAAUUUUCGAUUUUUAGUCGACUCAAAGAGUGUUUAAGUGUCUAUGUUCUUCACCAAACCUAUCAGACCAAAGCAGGUACAUAAAACUCUGUUAUUAAUGUCUCAUGAUCACAAAUUCCCUUCUUCAAUGGGGUAUGUAAACAUGGAGAAAUACUGGGUUUUCCUGAUCACAUGUCUUGUCUGCGUUUUUCUCCUUGCUACUUCCUUCAACAUGGGUCUAAUGUCUUCUCUCCGACCACCAAUCAAUAGAACUUUCUCCUGUUUUGCCACAAAUGAUUCAAAAGCUGCAGAGCAACAACCUAGUGAAGACGACAAGCUCCCACGUUUCGCUUACCUUGUUGGAGGGUCUAAAGGAGAUCUUGAAAGCCUUUGGAGAACCCUUAGAGCAGUGUACCAUCCAAGGAAUCAAUACAUUGUUCACAUGGAUCUUGAAUCUCCGGUUGAUGAGAGACUAGAGCUGGCUUCUCGCAUCGAUAA